AACGAACGCUGGCGGCAUGCCUAACACAUGCAAGUCGAACGAGACCUUCGGGUCUAGUUGCGCACGGGUGCGUAACGCGUGGGAACCUGCCCUUAGGUUCGGAAUAACUCCCCGAAAGGGGUGCUAAUACCGGAUAAUGUCUUCGGACCAAAGAUUUAUCGCCUGUGGAUGGGCCCGCGUUGGAUUAGCUAGUUGGUAGGGUAAAAGACUACCAAGGCGACGAUCCAUAGCUGGUCUGAGAGGAUGAUCAGCCACACUGGGACUGAGACACGGCCCAGACUCCUACGGGAGGCAGCAGUGGGGAAUAUUGGACAAUGGGCGAAAGCCUGAUCCAGCAAUGCCGCGUGAGUGAUGAAGGCCUUAGGGUUGUAAAGCUCUUUUACCCGGGAUGAUAAUGACAGUACCGGGAGAAUAAGCGCCGGCUAACUCCGUG
rnacentral:rRNA from 1 species